AGUAACGCGUGGAUAACCUGCCUCACACUGGGGGAUAACAGUUAGAAAUGACUGCUAAUACCGCAUAAGCGCACAGUACCGCAUGGUACAGUGUGAAAAACUCCGGUGGUGUGAGAUGGAUCCGCGUCUGAUUAGCCAGUCGGCGGGGUAACGGCCCACCAAAGCGACGAUCAGUAGCCGACCUGAGAGGGUGACCGGCCACAUUGGGACUGAGACACGGCCCAA
rnacentral:rRNA from 1 species